rnacentral:rRNA from 1 species
AGAGUUUGAUCCUGGCUCAGAACGAACGCUAGCGGCGUGCUUAACACAUGCAAGUCGUACGAGAAAUCCCGGGCAACUGGGAGAGUAAAGUGGCGCACGGGUGAGUAACGCGUGGGUAAUCUACCUUGGAGUUGGGAAUAACACCUCGAAAGGGGUGCUAAUACCAAAUGUGGUCCCUGGAGUUUCGGCCCCGGGGAUGAAAGAUGGCUGAGGCUUGCAAGCUAUUGCUCCAAGAUGAGCCCGCGUACCAUUAGCUUGUUGGUGGGGUAAUGGCCCACCAAGGCAAUGAUGGUUAGCUGGUCUGAGAGGAUGGCCAGCCACACUGGAACUGAGAUACGGUCCAGACUCCUACGGGAGGCAGCAGUGAGGAAUCUUGCGCAAUGGGGGCAACCCUGACGCAGCAACGCCGCGUGAGUGAUGAAGGCCUUCGGGUCGUAAAGCUCUGUCAGGCGGAAAGAAAGUUUUCAGGGUAAACAAUCCUGGAGAUUGACGGUACCGCCAAAGGAAGCACCGGCUAACUCCGUGCCAGCAGCCGCGGUAAUACGGAGGGUGCGAGCGUUGUUCGGAAUUAUUGGGCGUAAAGAGCGUGUAGGCGGCCUUGUAAGUCAGAUGUGAAAUUCCUUGGCUUAACCAAGGAAGGGCAUUUGAAACUGCUUGGCUUGAGUACGGGAGGGGGAAGCGGAAUUCCCGGUGUAGAGGUGAAAUUCGUAGAUAUCGGGAGGAACACCGGUGGCGAAGGCGGCUUCCUGGACCGAUACUGACGCUGAGACGCGAAAGCGUGGGGAGCAAACAGGAUUAGAUACCCUGGUAGUCCACGCCGUAAACUUUGGGCACUAGGUGUUGCGGGUAUUGACCCCUGCAGUGCCGAAGCUAACGCAUUAAGUGCCCCGCCUGGGGAGUACGGUCGCAAGACUAAAACUCAAAGGAAUUGACGG